rnacentral:rRNA from 1 species
CCUACGGGAGGCAGCAGUGGGGAAUUUUCCGCAAUGGGCGAAAGCCUGACGGAGCAAUACCGCGUGAGGGAGGAAGGCUCUUGGGUUGUAAACCUCUUUUCUCAGGGAAGAACAGAAUGACGGUACCUGAGGAAUAAGCAUCGGCUAACUCCGUGCCAGCAGCCGCGGUAAUACGGAGGAUGCAAGCGUUAUCCGGAAUGAUUGGGCGUAAAGGGUCCGCAGGUGGCAUUGUAAGUCUGCUGUUAAAGAGUUUGGCUCAACCAAAUAAGAGCAGUGGAAACUACAAAGCUAGAGUGUGGUCGGGGCAGAGGGAAUUCCUGGUGUAGCGGUGAAAUGCGUAGAUAUCAGGAAGAACACCAGUGGCGAAGGCGCUCUGCUAGGCCGAGACUGACACUGAGGGACGAAAGCUAGGGGAGCGAAUGGGAUUAGAUACCCCAGUAGUCCUAGCCGUAAACGAUGGAUACUAGGCGUAGCUCGUAUCGACCCGAGCNUGUGCCGGAGCUAACGCGUUAAGUAUCCCGCCUGGGGAGUACGCNNUCCAAAGGNAUCAAA